GUGCAAGCAGGAGGGGGCAGGGAUCUCUCAGGCAGCGCGAUGCCUCCCUUCCUAUCGAAGCAGCUCCAAUCCCAUGCAGGUGUGCAAGCAGGAGGGGAUGGGGACCCCUCAGCUGGGAAGGGAGGCUUCCAGUUGCCUAACUGAGAGGUCCCUGCCCCCUCCUGCUUGCAC